CCUCCCCUCCCCUCCCUUCCCCUCCUCUCCUCUCUUCUCCUUUCCCUUCUUCCUCUCUCUGGGUCUCCUCAUGUGUGCUUUUUCUUCUCCUUUUCCUUGGCAUCCAGCUGCGUUUCUGCAGGUCUCCCAGUGAGAGACAAAGCACAAUGUCUGAGUUUAGCACAAAGAAGCCACCUUUAAAAAACAUCGACUUAGAGGAAACCUGUGUCCUCAGAUAUCUCCCUCCCUUCCCUGCUAUUUACGGAACCCAGCGUUAUACUUAACACAGCACUGCCUGUUGUCUGCGUGAUUCCGGCCAGCAAACUCGGGUGGAGAAGGCAACAUACCCACUGUGUGUGUAGAUAGGUAGAGACCCCGAUUUUCAGGAGCUACCUGCUUUCCAGGAUCGAUGUGUAGCCGAGCUCCGAAAACGCGUGCCACCAGAAAUGAUGGGAGACACUCCCCUACUCAACUCAGGAUGUCUUUCAUUUUUAUCUUCUGCCACUUUUUUGUCAUCUGAAUUAUUACUUAUCAUUACCAAGGGGCUGUAGGCUGAUCAGUGGAGGGUGCGUGGAUCUGAUGGACAUUGGAGGAGAAAUACUUCAGAAAGAAGGAAAAUGUCUGCGGUAGAAGUAAAGGGGUAGGAGAGGCCGCAGUGAGUGAUGAGUCCAUUGCAGAAGCCAAGUGGUAAAUUAGUGCAUAUGGCAAAGAUAGUCAAGGAGCAAAGCCUGCCGCUGGAAGGAAAGAGAUUUUGAGCGUUGUCGUCAUCUCAUGCCUGAAUAGAGUGCGUAUUUUAAAUAGGGCUUGGAAUCACUGCUCUUCGUGCCUCUAAACGCCGAUUGCAAGGAAGUAUUUGGGGGCUGUUGACUUUCUGUCCGUAAAGAAAACCCAGCAAGGCUCACAGAAUUCUCUACCUGCACGCAUACAGGCAUAGGUGCUCUAAAUGCCCGGUGGGAUGCGGAACCAUUAGGCGGAGAACUGCGCCCUGGUCUCCUCUUCUUCACUCCUUUCUCUCCCCCCCUCCACUCCUCCCCUUUCUUUUACCCCUUCUAGAAAACGUGAUACCUGAUCUCUGGGUCUAGCAGGCUGAGGGUUUUUGUUUUUUUUUUUUUUUUUUUUUUCCUGUAUUCGUAUAAUACAAUGUCUGGCCUUCCCCCUGACCUGCUGGUGUAUUUUUGGUCUCAUUAGCAGUCAGGGAGAUGCCUUAGUGCAUCCGGGGCUGCGAGUCAGGGAUGAGACACUACAACGGAGAGAGAGAGAGCGAGCGCGAGAGGAUAUUAGAAGGGAGGCUUGUCUCCAAGAUAUGGAAGGAAGUGAGAAAUGACAGGACCGCAAGCUUUGUAUGUAGGAGCCUGGCAGGGCGGGGGAGCGGCGGGGAAAGCCAAGUGGAUUCUCAGAAAAGGAGGGAAGCCGUAGAUAGAGCUAACGGUGAUUAGAGGGGGGAUAUUGAUUCCUUAUUCUGCCAGAGAUUUAAGCAGGCAUGCGAGGAAUCUGCACCAUGGUUGGCAAAAGGAGCCUCUGUAACCAGACACUCGGGCUUUCCAGGAGCCCAGGGAGAGAGCUGAGAAGAAAGGGGGCAGUGUGGUCUAGGAAAAUUCAACUUGUCGCUGAUUUGUGCCUGAUGCUUGCUGUCCGUCAGCAGCCUCCCUUACAAUCUUUUUUUCUCUCUCUCUCUCUCCCUUUUUUUCUUGCCUUCUCCUUCUUCACUGAAGCCUAAGGGAGCCAGCAAAGAUUAAAUGUGCUUUCUCAAAGGCGGCCACUUCACGCUGCUAUGUCGAAAAGGCCAUUAUUAUUAUGAUUUUUAAUAGUAAAAGAAAAAGGGAGAGAGAGGUCGAGACAGGGAGAGAGAAGCAAGGUAGGUUGAUGACGGACUAGCCUUUCUGAGAGGAAAAGGAAAGUGAGAGAGAAAGGAGAGACCCUGAACUGAACGGAAGAUUGUGCCUGAGAAGAACCUACGGAGGCGGCACAAGAACCCCUGGCUUGGGGAAAACUCAGCUUCCAGGCAGAUGGGAACAAGCGACUAUCUCUCAGGUACAAAACUGGUAGCUUCUGCGACAAGAGAAGGCAAUUAUGCUUCUGAUUCCUCUGAAAUAUUGGCAAGAGGCUCCAAAGGUUCGGCGGCGGCGGGAGUGGGGCGGGGGAGACGGAUCUCCCCAGCCUGCACCCACCCCUUCCCCACCUCGCCUCCCAAAUGACAGCCUGGUGCUGGCUCUGGGUGAUUUGGCCUUGGCCUCAGCCAAGCAGCUGAUGAAGACGAGGCCCCCGUUUGCAGGACUGGCAAAGUGCACGCUAAAGAAAGAAGCAAGGAAUUUUUUAAAAGCAGCUCUUGGGAGGUUUCUCAUUCUUAAAAAAAAAAAAAAAAAAAAAGAGAGAGAGAGAGAGGGAGAGAGAGAGAAUUAAAAACGUUUUUUUCACUGAAUAUUUUCAAAAUUUGAUCAGUCCCAGUCCCUCCCUCCACUUGCACCAAAUUGCCUUUUUUUUCUCCCUCGUCAAAGCAUGAGAGCUACAGAGUUACAGUCUCGAGAUUUGGUGUAUCGCUUCCUGCCCCCGCCUCCCUCCCCGCCCCGAUGUCGAUGUCGGUCCUCUGUUGAAACACCUCGCCCAGGCUAGCGCACUGCGAGCUCCCAUUUCCCCCCCUUGCUCGGAAUGGUGUUGCACGAGGGCUGCAGCCUGCUCCGCUUCCAUUGGUUGUGUCGAUGUUCCUUUCAGCUGGUCCUAUAGCCCCCCUCCUCAGGAAGGUCUCCCCAGGGAAAGGACAAAAACUUCAGAGACACAGCCGCACUGAUGGACGCUCAAGCCAACAAUGGAGUUGAAACAAAGAAAGAGAUCGCCUGAAGACACCUUCCCUGCUAAGCAGCACACCCCAAAUGGCGCAGUUGCAGGCAAUAGAACUCUCAGAACAGGAGACCAUGUUUUCAAGAACCAGACAAAAUUUAACAGUGACAUCUAGAUUUCUAAAGAGCCAAGGACUUUCCCUUCCUCGUGUGUAUUCCUCUGUUUGUAUUUAAAUUCAGUGUGACAUUCAUUUCUAAAAUAUUUUCCCGGGAUGAGUAUGUUUAUGAAGGCAUCAAUGUUUUUAGAACAGAAAAUUGCACACAGGUGUUCAUGUGGUAAGGAACAAUUUUAGUGCUAUAAGAACAUCAAUUUUUAGCCACACACGGUUUGAUCUUAAGAGUGACCUGAAGGAACAUAAAGUACUUUUGAAAUACCAAAGUAGUCAGAGGCAAUCCAAAGGAUAACAUAGUGGACAUUAUCCCACCUGACACAGACCAGUCAACCAUUCUUUUAAUCCAGCAAAAUAGGUUCGCUGAGACAUGAUCCCUGCCUCUAAAGAGUUUAAGUUUAAUGAGACCGAGACACACAAACUUUUGAAAAGAUAGUAACCAAUCAGGUGCAUUGAUGUUAAGACCACAGUAAAACUAAAGAGAUAAUAAGCAAAGAGUUCGGAGGAGGUCACCAUAAUCUGGGCAAACCUGGCCUGUUUAGGGAAGAAAGUUUCCAAAGGAGGAAAACACAAGAUGAAUCUUAAAGGGUAGUAAGAUUUAGGGGCACCUGGUUGGCUCCGUUGGUAGAGCAUGCGACUCUUAAUCUCAGGGUUGUGAGUUCAAGCCCCACAUUGGGCGUGGAGCCUACUUACAAAAAAAGGGGGGAGAGGUAUUAAAUAUUUAGAUAAAUGGAAAGGAAAGAGAGAAUAGAUUGCUUUAAAUGAAUGCAAUGUGAGCAAAGCCAUGGAGGAAGGAAUCUAUGUGGUGAAUUUGGGAAUUAUGAGUAUACGUGUCUAGUUGACAUUGAAUGCCUGCAUACAUAGACAUACACGGUAAGGACUUUGCACACACACGUCCCCUCUCCCACCUUGGGUGUCACCUAGAAAUACCAUCUUGUUUUCCACAAAAGCAAGUGGGAGUGAUUGGUGGUAAUAUGAGAACUUAUGAUUUUACUUUUCACUUAAUAACAAUUAGUAUUUAUCGAGGUCUUAAUGUAUGUUAAGCAUUUGACGUAUGAACUCGCUUAAGCCUACAGCUCAGAACAGCCCUGCAAGAUAGGUACGAUUAUCCCUGUUUGGAAGCUAACAUUUAAUGAGAUUAAGCAACUUGCCAAACUGCCACGCACAGGGUCCGCACUCAGAAUUGUGACCGUAAAUCUCAUGAUCUGAAGCACGAAGUCCCAAUAUUGUGAUCAGUGUUGCAGUGUUACCACUUCUGUAUUCCCCGAUAGUUCUUUAUGGUGAACAAAUAGCUAUGACAUUCAGUUAUCCCCUCAAAUUUUUCAGUUUUCUGCUUAAAUGACAUUAGAACGAUCGAAAGACUUUUCAUGGGAGAAAACUGACAGAAUUGGGGAAGAGAGCUUCUCAGCAUUUUAGGCUUUUGUUUGUUUUUUUGCCAGACGUUGAGGAAAUGGUUCGCCUUGUUCUGCACAAAAUCUAAAAUUCCUGAGGAUUAAUAAAGGAGAGGGGAAACUCAAAGGUCAUCUGUUGCAACGUGCUUUUCUACAGACGGCAAAUCAAAGUGUGAGUGGCUUACAGGAAGCUCACACAUUUGAGUGUGGCAGAGCUAGGUCCAGAAACCAGGCUGUCCAGUCUCCUCUCCGAGGCUCUUGAACUACCCCACCCUGCCUACACGAAGUAUGAACUUGAAUUUGAUCAAGGAAAGUGUUCUGCCUGGGUGAUCGGGGGGACUGCGCCUAGCAGGUUGUUUCCAUUUUGCACCUGUUUCGCUUCCCACCUCAACGUGAAAACUAGCCAGUUAUGAACUGACAUCUUCUGAUGCAGACAUUGUCAAUGGUCCACCCCCAAAGAACACAUAAUGGCUCAAAUUAUGUGCGCAAUGUCUCCAAUGCUAUUCUUAAGUUAUUUGGAAUUCUUAGUUCACCUAAACCAAUCGGAUCUUCUAAUGAGCAUUUCCUUACCCGAUUUUAUGCGCAGUAUGUAUUUGUAAGUGCUUCUGCAUGAAUAUUUAUACACGACUGUUUCAAUAGUCCUUAUGUUUUUGAAAAUAUCAAUGGUUAUUUGCUAUUUUAAUCCUCACUUAUCCAUGUAACUAACUCAAGAAUACUUCAGCCAUAAAAAGCUAGAAGUGAGGAAAUCUCACUCUUUUUCACCGGCUCCUUCGCAUUUAGUUGGCAUUUAGUAAUGAUUAAUAAAGUGGUCAGCUGGAUGACACAGUUCCAAAAUGCAAUUCUGUCUUGAAGGAGUCAGUUAAGCUGCAUCUACUUAAGGACACACAUCUAGACAUUUGGAAGCACCUGAAUAUUUGUUGUAAAUUUCCACUUCAAAAUCUGGCAUUGUCAGACCUAGACCUCCUUGUGGCUCAGGCCGUCCUGUUUUCAAAAUGAUGAUUAUUGGCCAUAUCUCACACAGUUCUCAUUAAGUGAGUAGCCAAGCACAAAAUGUGACUUUGUUGACAUUUUCUGAGACUUUGUCAUAUGUCCCUUGAAUCCCCAAAUAAAAGCAACGUUGCAUCAAC